rnacentral:rRNA from 1 species
UACGGGGGGAGCAAGCGUUGUUCGGAUUUACUGGGCGUAAAGGGCGGGUAGGCGGCCACCGCAAGUCAGUUGUGAAAUCUCUGGGCUUAACCCAGAAAGGUCAACUGAUACUGCGGGGCUAGAGUGCAGAAGGGGCAACUGGAAUUCUCGGUGUAGCGGUGAAAUGCGUAGAUAUCGAGAGGAACACCUGCGGCGAAGGCGGCUCACUGGCCCGGAACUGACGCUGAGACGCGAAAGCCAGGGGAGCAAACGGG